rnacentral:tRNA from 1 species
CCUUCGAUAGCUCAGUUGGUAGAGCGGAGGACUGUAGAGGUUCAAUACGGACAUCCUUAGGUCGCUGGUUCGAAUCCGGCUCGAAGGA